GAUGAACGCUGGCGGCGUGCCUAAUACAUGCAAGUCGUACGGAAAGGCCCUUCGGGGUACUCGAGUGGCGGACGGCUGAGUAACGCGUGGGAACGUGCCCCAAAGUGAGGGAUAACGCACCGAAAGGUGCGCUAAUACCGCAUAUGGUCUUCGGAUUAAAGCUUCGGCGCCUUGGGAGCGGCCCGCUUACGAUUAGAUAGUUGGUGAGGUAAUGGCUCACCAAGUCGGCGAUCGUUAGCUGGUCUGAGAGGAUGAUCAGCCAGACUGGGACUGAGACACGGCCCAGACUCCUACGGGAGGCAGCAGUAAGGAAUCUUCCACAAUGGGGGCAACCCUGAUGGAGCAACGCCGCGUGCAGGAUGAAGGUUUUCGGAUCGUAAACUGCUUUUAUAAGUGAAGAAUAUGACGGUAACUUAUGAAUAAGGAUCGGCUAACUACGUGCCAGCCGCCGCGGUAA
rnacentral:rRNA from 1 species